GGGCCUGGGGUUGGUUUACGAUGAGAGAGUUAAGGUUUACUUAGGGUUUAGUUAGGAUCAAUUAGGUUUAAUUAAAUUUAAUUCGGGUUUUUAGGGUUUUUAAGGUUAAUGACUAACAGAAUUAACCGUCGUUAGUCAUUAAGGGUAUCUGGUGAAUUUUAUGUAAAGGUCAGAGAUAUGUGGUGAAUUUGAAAAUAAAUGAGGAUAUUUGGUGAGUAAAUUUUUUUGUCUAAGGUAUGGUGAAAUAACCAAUUAAAAAUUCCAUUAACAAUGUUGUCGACGAAAGAUGCAUGACGGGAACGAUGGUAGCCUAUGGUAGCGUGACAAAUGGUGGUUAAUGAGGGAGGUUAAUUGCGAUAAGGGACUAAGUAGGGUGAUGAUUUCUAAAACGAAGGACAAUGCCUACUCUGGUAAAUUAGCAUAUAUAGUCAUGUUAGUGCUAUCAUCGAUGGUGGUUAGGGAGUGUUGAGACUGUGAUGGAGGUGAAGUCAAGGAAAUUGGAUUGUUGUAUAGGAAUGUCAUAAAGAAUGUCAUGAAAUUGGGUGCUGGUUAAGAAAACUAAAUAACAAUAUCAUAAGGAAUUAAUUCAAAAUGAAGAAAUAAAGUUUUUUUUUUUGUUAAACCCAGACUUUAGAAAGAUUAUUUUAUUUGGAGGAGAGAUUGUAAUUAGUAUAAUAUAUACAUAGUAAUUUCUAAAGUUCGAAAAGAUUUAUUUCUUUAUUUAUAAUUGAUUCUUUAUGAUAUUGUUAUUUAGCUUUCUUAUCCAGAACCCCUCAGACGCUUGUUAGCUUUUGCCUAUUAAUAAAUGGCAAAAAUUACCAAGCUUAUGUUGGAUAUUUUGAAACUUUUUUUGUCUUUUAAACAACUUUAUCUUUUUACUAAUUUCCGCAUUUUUUUAGAAUCUGGAACUAUAACAAGUAAAAACAACUUUAAAAUAUAGAUGAAGUAUUACGACUCUCUCUUUUUUUGAGAUAAAAUAAUAUUUAUACUUCCUCCGUCCUAAAAUAAAUAAAUAUUUUAGACCGUUUCAAAAUAAUAAAAUACUACUUUAUGGGUAUUUACUUCACUCUAUCUCUUUGCUCAUCAUAUGGAUCUCUCUUUUUCUUUCUCUCUACCUCCCUCCUCUCCUAAAUUCCGUACCAAGCCCCUAUAUUUCAUUAAAAAUGAAACAAAGAAAGUAUCAUAUUUGAUUGGUUCAUUUGUUGGUUACUCUGGAGAAGUAUAUCAAAAAAAUCAAACAAUACAAAACUAUUUAAAGAGCUUUAUAUUUAACUUUUCAUUGUUUCGUGUUCUCUAUAUCAAUAAAUAAAUCUCAUUUCAAAUUAUGAUUAUUUAUGUUCAAUAGUUAUAUAAAUAAAAUUAUUCAUGUAAAUCAAAUAUAAUUAAAAAAAUUAUUUCCGAUUACAUAUAAUACAGAAUACGUAGAGAAUGAAUAUCUCUAUUAACAAACCUCCUUUAUAGUCUAUACCUUUCAAAAGAAAAAAGAUCUUCCCCUUAAAAGAAAAAAAUUAAUUUCUUUCGAUGACUAAUUUAAUACAUUUAAUGAUUAGAUCUACUUUUAUAUUAAAAUUAGACCGUUUUUUAAAUAAUUUUUUGUUUAAAAUAAACGAUGCUUUCAGUAUGCCCAAACAGGGACAGGCAGACAACGUCCCAUGUUCAUGGUUCAUGUAACACAUUGACUAUUGCAUACAGAAAACGGUGAUCUAAUGAGCUGUCGAUAUGAAAAUAUCAAAACCUUAGCAAGUGGAAAUUUCUAUUGGAUAAGGCCAAUGCUAUGGGGGCCCACUUCACGAGUCGCCGUCAAAUGGGCCUAACGUGUCAUUUUGAAAUCUGCAAAUUGCAAUGUAAUGAUGAUGGAUGACUGGAUAAGAGAAUUGGGCCUCGGAAAGUUUUGUAUUUAUUAUUGUCAAGAGGGAACAGUUAGUGAAAAAGACAUCAUCUUGGAGAAGUAGUGAAUGCUGAUGGAUUAGGAUUUUAGUGUUAUCAUCUUUUUUUACAUACUACUUCUUGUAUGAAUCUAACCUUCUAGAGGACUUGAAAUUUGGGAGAAUGGGAGGGAUAUAGAUUCAUCACCAAAUCCACGUCACUCAUGUGUGUCUAAGGUUAUCUUCUCAAGCCUCAUCUUUGGUCACUAUAUAGAAACUCCUUCUCACUCUCCUUCACCUUAAAUGAAAGUUCAAAGCUGUGUAAUUCAACUUAUUUUAAUGGUUUUAUUUAGUUCGGUUUAUUUUUCAAUUUCUAUAAGAAAAGAAACAUUAAAUAUUUUUCUUUAAGAAAAAUCGGAUAAGUUUAGAUAAGAAUUAAUCAGUUCGACAAAUAUAAGAUUUGACAGACUCGUAAAAUAGAGUCUAAUAAGUUCAGGUAAGGUUUAAUAAGUACUAAUAAGUUGAGAUAAACAAAAAUAAAUUGAAAAAAACGAGUCAAUAUCAAAUAUAUGUAUAACAUUAUUUAAACGCAUAUUUUAUGUGUGAAAUCUUUCAAGAGUGAAGGGUACAUUUAGGACCUAAACUAUUAGUAUUUUCAUCGUUCAUGACCUGGUACUUUUUUAUGCACCGUUUAGGAGCUAAUGUCAAUUGUCGUUGCCAAAUUGUAACUAUGGUUAAGUGUGGGGCCCAAAUAAAUUAAUAAAUUGUCAAAACCCAAAAAGCAAUGAUUUGUUGUAAUUUUGGAGCAGAGGAAAAACGCAACGUUUGAUGACUCUUUGCACUGAUAUCCAUAAACUUGGCGCCACAAAACAUGGCCUCCACUCUCUCAUCCUUUGUACUCAUUAACUCCAACACUCUUCAUCUUCCAUUCUUGUCAAUACAAGCUCUCUGUCAGAUUGAAAGAAGGCGGCUUCAGGAGAGAUUUUUUCUGCAAAACACAUUAAAAUCAUCAAGAUGGAGUUUUCCUUAUUUCCAGUUUAUGGGUGAUAAUGAUUGCUGAUUGAAGAAGCUGACCAAUGGAGUUUUUCUUAUUUUCUGUUUUUUGGCUUCUUAAUAUAUUUUGGGACAUCAGAAAAUUCCCUUGCUUUUUUUGGGUUUGUUUUUAUAGCUCAUAUUGUGGAACUGUACUUCAGGAACUGAAAGCUCCAAAAAUUCCAACGGUUACUUCUGAA